rnacentral:rRNA from 1 species
AAGUCUGAACGGAGCAACGCCGCGUGAGUGAUGAAGGCUUUCGGGUCGUAAAACUCUGUUGUUAGGGAAGAACAAGUACGAGAGUAACUGCUCGUACCUUGACGGUACCUAACCAGAAAGCCACGGCUAACUACGUGCCAGCAGCCGCGGUAAUACGUAGGUGGCAAGCGUUAUCCGGAAUUAUUGGGCGUAAAGCGCGCGCAGGCGGUUUCUUAAGUCUGAUGUGAAAGCCCACGGCUCAACCGUGGAGGGUCAUUGGAAACUGGGGAACUUGAGUGCAGAAGAGAAAAGCGGAAUUCCACGUGUAGCGGUGAAAUGCGUAGAGAUGUGGAGGAACACCAGUGGCGAAGGCGGCUUUUUGGUCUGUAACUGACGCUGAGGCGCGAAAGCGUGGGGAGCAAACAGGAUUAGAUACCCGGGGUAGU